ensembl:snRNA U7 U7 small nuclear RNA
AAGUGGUGUGGCCCUUUUAGAAAUUUUCUGGCAGGUUUUCUGGUUUUCACCAGAAAACAUCCCA